CUCCACAUAUGUGACACCAUCAAAUCGCAUUUGGUUCCUCGCUUUCCAGAUGAGUGCAAUUGUGGUUAUGAAUGCAGCAGCUGUUGUCACCUUGUGCCAUUGCCUGCUCUCGGCUAUACUACAUAUCCAGUUGAGUUCAGAUUCCCAGCAUCCUACAGUUCGAGAAUAUCCCAACCAAUUACAAACUCUUUUCCAUAAACUGUUUGUGCACUGGUGUGGUAUUAGAUUUGGCAAGAUGAGCUUUUCCGGUGAGAGUUUCGACAAGAGAUUUUGCGAUUUUGGGUGGAGACAUCAACGAGAA
rnacentral:lncRNA from 1 species